AGAGAGAGGAAAGUAAAUCAAGUAAACUAACAUUUGUUUUUUGUGAAAAAGGUGUUUUGUGUUUGUGUGUGUGUUUGGAAAUUCUACUCGUUUUUUGGGCGUGAUGGGCGGUGGCAAUCAGUCUAAUAAGUCUUGGCAAACACUCGCGAAACAUUGCGCUUUCCCAAAUUAUACUGCGAAAUAGAUUAAAUUAAAUUAAAGAAAAUAUUGUUGAGCAUAACGAAAAAAAAAAUCAAAAAGUAUCUUAAAAAUUACAGCACACAAAAUUUCAAUUGGGAAUUGUAGAGGGCUCAAUCCUUGUAUGCACUCCAAACCAAAUUUCAAGCACAGGCUUUGGCACACCAAUUAAAUAUGGCAUGGGGGCGCCCAGGUAAUCCUUAAACGCCCACGGCAAGAUCGGAAUAAAUAUGUGCUGCCAGACCAUGGGAUAUAGGAAUGCAUUGGCUGCCUGUAUGCAUGAGGAUAGACGAUCCAAGUGACUCGAUGUGAAUAUAAUGCGACGCUCGGCCAGCAUGGCAGCAAAUACGCAGAUCAUCUCCUUGGGAUCCACAAAGUUAUAAUACAGAUUUAGAUUGUGCUGCAAGGCAAAGAUGAAAAUAAUUGAAAAUUCAAGUAUUUGAAUGAAUGAAAAUCGUGUUGGAACUCACAUUUUCUGGUAUGCUAGGCAGCUGAAACUGCAACGGCCGCUCGAAAGUGAAAUGCUGCAGGGGAAAAUUAAUAAAUUUAUUAUUUAAUUCAUAUUUAA